rnacentral:rRNA from 1 species
CUAGCGACUUCAGAGUUGAUCCUGGCUCAGGACGAACGCUGGCGGCAUGCCUAACACAUGCAAGUCGAACGGAGUUAUAUCGAAUGAGAGCUUCGGCAGGAUUUUGGUAUAGCUUAGUGGCGGACGGGCGAGUAACGCGUGAGCAACCUGCCCUUCAGUGGGGAAUAACGGCUGGAAACGGUCGCUAAUACCGCAUAACAUCCCGAGAUGGCAUCAUCAUGGGAUCAAAGAUUUAUCGCUGAAGGAUGGGCUCGCGUCCGAUUAGAUAGUUGGUGAGGUAAUGGCUCACCAAGUCGACGAUCGGUAGCCGAACUGAGAGGUUGAUCGGCCGCAUUGGGACUGAGACACGGCCCAG